UGUGCCAGCAGCUCGCGGUAAUACGAAGGGUGCAAGCGUUACACGGAAUUACUGGGCGUAAAGCGUGCGUAGGUGGUGGUUUAAGUCUGCUGUGAAAGCCCUGGGCUCAACCUGGGAAUUGCAGUGGAUACUGGAUCACUAGAGUGUGGUCAGAGGGAUGCGGAAUUUCUGGUGUAGCAGUGAAAUGCGUAGAGAUCAGAAGGAACAUCCGUGGCGAAGGCGGCAUCCUGGGCCAACACUGACACUGAGGCACGAAAGCGUGGGGAGCAAGCAGGAUUAGAUACCUGGUAGUC
rnacentral:rRNA from 1 species